UGCUGUUUUUAUUUUGGGCAACAAGAAUGUUUGGAAAUAACUGAGCAGUGGGAAGAUAAAACAAUUGAGGAGGAAUGGGGUACAUAUUUCAGCAAGCGUACUCCUUCGUCUUAUCAACAACAAAAGCUAACUGUAUAACAUCCUCAGGCAGUCCCUUCAGGAGCUAUUCCAGAAGGAGUUGUUAUCAUAGGAGAUGACAGCUCCAUGCAUGUUACUGCCGCUUAGGAUCUUCAAAGACAGAGUCUUGCUGUUUUCACCCAGGCUGCUGGAGUACAGUGGCGAGAUAUCGGCUCACUGGAACCUCCACCUCCCGGGUUCAAAGGAUUCUCCUGCUUCAGCCUCCUGAGUAGCUGGGAUUACAGGCACGCGCCAUCAUACCUGGCUAAUUUUUGUAUUUUUAAUUGAGAUGGGGUUUCACCAUGUUGGUCAGGCUGGUCUCGAACUCCUGACCUCUUGAUCCGCCCACCUCAGCCUCUCAAAGUUCUGGGAUUAUAGGCGUGAGUCACCGCGCCUGGCCUGAAAGUUUUCUUUAAAGGAUCACAAUUAAUUGAAUCAAGAAAUGUACUGGCCUUUCCACAGGCUUCAUCUUCCUUAACAUCCUCCUGGAAUUUUGUUUCGAACAGCUUCUCUUCUAAAAAAUAUUUUAUCUGGAACAUCCCUCUUUUAUUUUUGCUUUCUUAAUGUUUCUUCUAAAGCCUUUGCUGAUUCUGGUUACCCCUACCACCACCACCUUUCAAAUAUUAAAUGUUUAAGAGCCUUGUCCUUGGUCUUUCUUUUUUUUUCAUCACAAAUUUACUGCUUAUUUUUUUAAAAAUUGUUAUUUUAUUGGAGGACUUUAGAAUAUGGCAAUUUUUGUUUUUGUAAACUUAAGGUUGACUUCUACUUUACCCAGUCAACACUUAAUGUUUUCUGUAUUCAUCUAUUAUUUGUUUUUGUGUUUUCACUGAUAUUUUGUGUAUGCAGG
rnacentral:lncRNA from 10 species